UACAGGGGGGGGCAAGCGUUGUUCGAAAUUACUGGGCGUAAAGGGCUCGUAGGCGGCCAACUAAGUCACACGUGAAAUCCCCAGGCUUAACCUGGGAACUGCGUGUGAUACUGGAUGGCUUGAAUCCGGGAGAGGGAUGCGGAAUUCCAGGUGUAGCGGUGAAAUGCGUAGAUAUCCGGAAGAACACCGGUGGCGAAGGCGGCCUGCUGGGCAGUGGCUGACGCUGAG
rnacentral:rRNA from 1 species